rnacentral:rRNA from 1 species
UAAGACGGAGGGUGCAAGCGUUGUUCGGAAUUACUGGGCGUAAAGGGCGCGUAGGCGGUCCGCUAAGACCGGUGUGAAAUCCCCUGGCUCAACUGGGGAACUGCGCCGGAAACUGGCAGACUCGAGUACCGGGGAGGAGGGUGGAAUUCCUGGUGUAGCGGUGAAAUGCGUAGAUAUCAGGAGGAACACCGGUGGCGAAGGCGGCCCUCUGGACGAGUACUGACGCUGAGGCGCGAAAGCGUGGGGAUCAAACAG